UGGGCUUUCCUUUGUAUGUGAUUGGUUUGUUUUCUCUAACUGGUUGUAGAAUUUUGUUCUUCUGUUGGAUUUCUGGAAUCCUAACUAUUAUAUGUCUAUGUGUAGAUUUUUUUUGAUCAAGGCUAGCUGGAGUCCUAUAUGACUCACUUAUCUGUAUGUCAAGUUCUUUUCCUCUGCUUGGGAAGUUUUCUGCCAUCCCUUCUGUGAACAGUUUUUUUAUGUCACCUGCACUCUCUCCUCUUUCUUCAUUGACUCUAAUCAGUCUUAUGUUAUUCUUCUUUGCAUCAUCUAGCAGCUGCUGGCUUGAUUUCUUGUGUUCCUUUACAAUUUUAAAGCAAUUUUUCUUUUCCUUCUCACUAAUUGCAAUCUUUUCUUCUAUAUCUGAAAUUCUAUCCUCACAUUUGUUCAUUCUGCUACACAGACUUUCGAUGGAGUUUUUAGUCUCCUGGAAAUCUGUUUGCAUCUGUUCUAUGGAUUCCAUUUGUUUUCUAUGUUGGGAUUCCAUUAUGUGCCUCAGAUCCUCUAUUUUUUAUCUGUGUCCUCUCUAGAUUUAUUAAUCAUGUCUUGCAGUAUGAGCAAAAUCUUUGCUGUUAUUUGAGUAAUUAUUUCUGAUUUCAUUUUUCCCAGAUCCUCUUUUGUUGCCAGUUCAGAGAGUCUAGGUGGUUGAGUAUCAGAGUGUUCCAUCUCAUUUCCCUUUAGGGUUGCUGUAGGUGAUCUGGAAGUCUGUUUUUGAGGCUUUUUUAUGUGCCUUCUCAUUUUCACCCGGGGUGGGGAGGUGCUUCUGGCACCUGUGCGGCUCACCUUCUCUACCCUAGGACCAUGCAAUGGUGGUGGGGGAGACUCCUUCUGGGUGCCGGUACUGGCUCACCUUCUCUGCCCUAGGAUCAUGGAAUGGGGGAGCUUCCUUCCGGGUGCCCCAAUUAAUAGGUCGUUUGUAGACAUUUCAGUCCAUAUUCCACUGGCUCCAAGGUCUUUCAGCAACAGAAAGGAGAAGGUGCUAUGUAAUGGUGGUGGAGAGGCAGAGAGAUUAGAAACUUUUAAAUUUGAUAUUCCAUUUAUUGAUUCUUGGUAUUUACUUCUUGUGCAACUGGGGUUCUAUUCAGAAAGUCCUUGCCUAAACCUAUGUCUUUAAGAGUUUUACCUAUUUUGUCUUCCAGUAGGUUCAGUGUUUCUGUUUAAAUAUUUAGCUUUUGAUUUUAGUUUAGUACAUGGCAAGAGAUACAGGUCUAGGUUUAAUCUUAGGCAUGUGGAUAGCCAGUUUUCCCAGCAUCAUUUCUUAAAGAGGCUAUCUUUUCUCUAGCAUGUCCCCUUGUCAAAGAUCAGGUAGCUGCAUGUUUCUGGAGUCGUGUCUGCAUUUUAUGUUCUGUUCCAUUGAUCCACAUGUCUUCUUUUCCCCCCAGUAGCAUGCUGUUUUUUGCACUGUGGCUUUGUAGUAUAACUUGAAAUCCAGAAUUGUGAUGCCUCCUGCAAGAUUACUUUCAUUGCUCUAGGUCUCUUCGGGUUUCACAUGAAUUUUAAGAUUAUUUUCUCUAUUCUGUGAGGAAUAGUGCUGCUAUUUUGAUUGUGAUUGCAUUAAGUCUUUAUAUUAGUUUUGGAAGUAUGGUUAAUUAUAUUCAACAAAAUACCAAUAUAUAAGCAAAAAAAUAAAAAAGGAGGGAAAAAUGGAAAAUUAUAUCUCUAUAUCUAUCUACUAUCUAUCUAUCUAUCUAUCUCUCUAUCAUCUAUCAAAACUAGAAAAGGGACAAUUGUCUUGUUCUGUUGGUUAGGGUGAAAAUCCUGGCACAGUUUGUCAGUAUUGCUGUCUUUAGAUCACAACAUUUAGAAAACUCUUGGGAGCCACUCUCUUUGGUGUCUCAGCUUGGGCCCUCAGCCCCUGCCCCUACCCUCAAGGGAUGGCUCUGAGCUCUCUCUAACUGGUCUCAGGCUGUUCACCAGCCACAGCCUGAGUGACAAGCUCUGCCCCUUCCUUCUGUCCAGUCAUUGGCACACUGGGCUUCUAGCUCCGGUGGUUUUCUCAUUAUGGUGUAGUUCCUUCAAACGCCCUCCAGCCUGUGAUCUAGGCGAGUCUGGGGGUCAGGAAAGGGACAACCCCAGCUAAUAUCUAUGGGUGUUCUUGCUCCCCUCUCAAUGCAUGUGCAAGCCACCUGCCCUGUUCCUCCAGAUUUCUCUCUGGGUGGCUGUUCCCACCAUGUAUAGUGCAGAGGGAGGGAU
rnacentral:lncRNA from 1 species